rnacentral:rRNA from 1 species
GGAGGAUCCGAGCGUUAUCCGGAUUUAUUGGGUUUAAAGGGAGCGUAGAUGGAUGUUUAAGUCAGUNGUGAAAGUUUGCGGCUCAACCGUAAAAUNGCAGUNGAUACUGGAUGUCUUGAGUGCAGUUGAGGCAGGCGGAAUAUAUGGUGUAGCGGUGAAAUGCUUAGAGAUCAUACAGAACACCGAUUGCGAAGGCAGUUUACCAGACUAUAUCUGACGUUGAGGCACGAAAGCGUGGGGAGCAAACAGGAUUAGAUACCCUGGUAGUCCACGCAGUAAACGAUGAUAACUCGUUGUCGGCAAUACACAGUCGGUGACUAAGCGAAAGCGAUAAGUUAUCCACCUGGGGAGUACGUUCGCAAGAAUGAAACUCAAAGGA